AACGAACGCUGGCGGCAGGCCUAACACAUGCAAGUCGAGCGCCCCGCAAGGGGAGCGGCAGACGGGUGAGUAACGCGUGGGAAUCUACCUAGUGGUACGGAAUAGCCCCGGGAAACUUGGAGUAAUACCGUAUACGCCCGAAAGGGGAAAGAUUUAUCGCCAUUAGAUGAGCCCGCGUUGGAUUAGCUAGUUGGUGGGGUAACGGCCCACCAAGGCGACGAUCCAUAGCUGGUCUGAGAGGAUGAUCAGCCACACUGGGACUGAGACACGGCCCAGACUCCUACGGGAGGCAGCAGUGGGGAAUAUUGGACAAUGGGCGCAAGCCUGAUCCAGCCAUGCCGCGUGAGUGACGAAGGUCUUCGGAUUGUAAAGCUCUUUUGGCGGGGACGAUAAUGACGGUACCCGCAGAAUAAGCCCCGGCUAACUUCGUGCCAGCCGCCGCAGUAAUAC
rnacentral:rRNA from 1 species